UACGUAGGGUGCGAGCGUUGUCCGGAAUUAUUGGGCGUAAAGAGCUUGUAGGCGGUUUGUCGCGUCUGCCGUGAAAAUUCGAGGCUCAACCUCGAACUUGCGGUGGGUACGGGCAGACUAGAGUGUGGUAGGGGAGACUGGAAUUCCUGGUGUAGCGGUGAAAUGCGUAGAGAUCCGGAGGAACACCGACGGCGCAGGCAGCGUCCUGGCCGCUUGCUGACACUGAGGCACGAAAGCUGGGGGAGCAAACAGG
rnacentral:rRNA from 1 species